rnacentral:rRNA from 1 species
CCCUUAGAUGUUCUGGGCCGCACACGCGCUACACUGAAGGAGGCAGCGUGUGCUCCUGGAUCGAAAGAUUUGGGUAACCCGCGAAUCUCCUUCGUGCUAGGGAUUGAGGUUUGCAAUUAUCCUUCAUGAACGAGGAAUUCCCAGUAAGUGCAAGUCAUAAGCUUGCGCUGACUACGUCCCUGCCCUUUGUACACACCGCCCGUCGCUACUACCGAUUGAAUGAUUUAGUGAGGACUUCGGACUGGGACCGAUGCGGCUUUCGGGCUGCGUCGGUAUUCUGGAAAGAUGUCCAAACUGUAUCAUUUAGAGGAAGUAAAAGUCGUANCA